ACGGGAGGCAGCAGUGGGGAAUAUUGCGCAAUGGGGGAAACCCUGACGCAGCAACGCCGCGUGAGUGAAGAAGUAUCUCGGUAUGUAAACUUCUAUCAGCAGGGAAGAUAAUGACGGUACCUGACUAAGAAGCCCCGGCUAACUACGUGCCAGCAGCCGCGGUAAUACGUAGGGGGCAAGCGUUAUCCGGAUUUACUGGGUGUAAAGGGAGCGUAGACGGAAUGGCAAGUCUGGUGUGAAAGGCAUGGGCUCAACCCGUGGACUGCACUGGAAACUGUCGUUCUUGAGUGCCGGAGGGGUAAGCGGAAUUCCUAGUGUAGCGGUGGAAUGCGUAGAUAUUAGGAGGAACACCAGUGGCGAAGGCGGCUUACUGGACGGUAACUGACGUUGAGGCUCGAAAGCGUGGGGAGCAAACAGGAUUAGAUACCCUGGUA
rnacentral:rRNA from 1 species